CCAUUUCAUUCUUGCAAGCCUGGGAAACACUUGGAUUAGCUAACUAGCAGCAUGAAUCGGUGGUCGGCUGCAAACAUGUCUUCAUGUGACUCCAGCUUCAGAAGACACAAGAUUGAGAUGGAUUGAGUUCAUAUAUGAUGGCAACGUUCCUGCCACCACUUUGAAUCGGACUUUUUUAUCAACCUGGGCCAAUAUAACGCUGGAUUCUCUAAAAGGUUGUUAUUGAAAGAGGGGUCGGUGCCAUCUUUCCAUGGCAAUACUGAAGACGAGGGAAAUGCAAGCACAUCUGUUCACGGUGCUAGGCUACAUCACGUAGCAUGCCAGACGGACCCACCACAGAUGCGCACACAUGGAACGCAGCUUUCUAUGAAAACACUGCGACCUCACUACAAAAGUACAGGCACACAGAAAACUGUGCUGCACUGAUGUUGGUGUUGGGACCUCAGCUGUAAGAGACCUCGCUUGGAGGAGGGAGAGGACAAGAUGUGACAUUACGUGGAUAACCUGUUGGACCUCAUCUUUCACGAGGUUUUUCAGGACCCGGCCCCAUAUGUGAAUGAGGUGCUGAAGAUCUCAAAACCUGAGGAUCUCUCUGCCUAGUAUGAGAAACCUGACAAGCAGGAAGUUAUAGCCAGCUAUGUGUCGAGUUUCAAUCAAGGGCAGGUCUGAACCCUGUAUAACUUCCCUGAGCAUCAGGGAACACUCAGCGUAUCUGGAGCACCGAGCAGAAGGGCAGGACCACCCUGAUUCUCCGGCCCAGGUGGCCUCAACACCAGCUAACAAAGCUUCUCUACGACAAAUACCUGUAACGGCUGAGCAAAGUUCACAUUGUAUUUAGAGAAUAAAGGUGACACACAAAUAUAAAGUGUUCCUUUGUUUACAGUAUGGCUACUGAUGGCACAAAUUGUAUUUUUGAAAUCAAUGUUUUCAUUAUACUUGGUAUUUUUUGUAUUUAUUACCUCUGUCCCAGCCAGUACAUUUAAUAACUAUUUUUUAAAAGCUCUGUGGCAUUCUUUCUAGCAAUCUUUCUGACAAUAAAAGUUUAUAGAAACAUUUGUGUGCUUUUAAUGUUUGAUAUGUAACAUGUUAACAAUUGACACGUGUAAGAUGAGCAGUUAGCAAAGUAAUACACAGGGAAGAGUAAUUUAUGUAUUUUAUUCCUCAGUCAUAUUUGUAUUGCAGAAAUGACUGAUAUCUCAUGCAUAAAAAAAACAAAACUUACUGCUCUAUUCCUCUUAGACAUAAAGGCCCAUAAUCUGCCCUAUAGAUGUUGAAUGCAUUCUGUAGUGAGAACACAUUCAAACACACAGGCUAAUUAAUGGAGGUAAAAAACGUUAUGUCCUACACCUCCAUGAGAGGGGG